CCGCCAAUAAAAUUUGUGCGAUUGGUCGAAAGAGACCGGCAUAGUAGCAGCCGCAAGACAACCUAAUAUUACGCCCUAUAAGUCUUCAAUUUUUUCCGUCUUAUUAUGCGGCACAGGAACAUGGAAUAUGACGAACCGACGUACUUGAAGCAUUCGAGAGAAUUGUUCUGCGCAAGAUUUUUGGAGCCGUUCUCUUGAGCGAUGAAUACCGAGAAAACGGACAGAGGCAACUGGUGAAGUGUUGUGUUCUCGGCCAAGGGAAUAUUAUGCGAAUUGAGAUAUGGAUCAGGAUCAGACAAAAAAAUUUCUCAAUAUGUUUUUCGAAUCACUUUGGAAUUGGAGUUCUGGACGUUGAUGCUAAGACGCCUUUGGAAAUUACUUCGUUUACUUUUCUUUUGAAACAGAAAUGAUCAACUAUAAAGCGUAAUAUAUUUUAAUAAUCAUAAUAAUCUUUAAUUUUCACAAAAUAGAAAACUUAUACUUGAAGCAUGGUCCCGACGAAACACAGAACGUUCCGUACUGCUUUAAUAUUGGACAGGCCAACAAGUUUUUACUUUUAGGAAGGCACAACUAAGUAAUAAAGUACGAAUCUCUCACUUAGAAACUAGAUGAGUAUUCAAAUUUAAAAGAAAUUGGAGAAGCUAAUGUGGGCAUUUCAUGAAAUGGAGAUGAUGAUAAACACCAAGGACUCACUGGGAAAAUAAUAAUGCUACCUUAAAAACACUGUCACUGUCGAUAAGGCUAUUCUAUCACCUUCGGUUACGCGUAUUUGAAAUGCCUCCAACAACUACUCCAGCACACCUCUAUUAGCCUUCUUUAAAUCAUACGUUUUAUUCGUAUACUCUUUGCAGUUUGGCAUAGAAAAUGUAUUUAUUUCAAUAUUGAUACAAUUUUCUUUAAUACUUUUCGCUUUUACUUUGUUUACAACAAUUAAAUUUGUUCGCAAGAUUGUGUUAAAAUUCCGCAACAGCCCACAAAUAAGAUUUCUGAAAUGUGUUUCGAAUACGUGGAAGAUC